GAAAGCCCAGGGGAGCGAAAGGGAUUAGAUACCCCUGUAGUCCUGGCCGUAAACGAUGAACACUAGGUGUCGGGGGAAUCGACCCCCCUCGGUGUCGUAGCUAACGCGUUAAGUGUUCCGCCUGGGGAGUACGCACGCAAGUGUGAAACUCAAAGGAAUUGACGGGGGCCCGCACAAGCGGUGGAGUAUGUGGUUUAAUUCGAUGCAACGCGAAGAACCUUACCAGGAUUUGACAUCCUGCGAACCUCUUAGAAAUUUGAGGGUGCCUUCGGGAACGCAGUGACAGGUGGUGCAUGGCUGUCGUCAGCUCGUGUCGUGAGAUGUUGGGUUAAGUCCCGCAACGAGCGCAACCCACGUUUUUAGUUGCCAGCAUUUAGUUGGGCACUCUAGAAAGACCGCCGGUGAUAAACCGGAGGAAGGUGUGGAUGACGUCAAGUCAUCAUGCCCCUUACAUCCUGGGCUACACACGUACUACAAUGCUACGGACAAAGGGCAGCAAACUCGCGAGGGCAAGCAAAUCCCAUAAACCGUGGCUCAGUUCAGAUCGUAGGCUGCAACUCGCCUACGUGAAGCAGGAAUCGCUAGUAAUCGCAGGUCAGCAUACUGCGGUGAAUACGUUCCCGGGCCUUGUACACACCGCCCGUCACACCAUGGAAGUUGGCCACGCCCGAAGUCGUUACUCCAACCCUUGUGGAGGAGGACGCCGAAGGUGGGGCUGAUGACUGGGGUGAAGUCGUAACAAGGUAACC
rnacentral:rRNA from 1 species